AAGAAUUUAAAGGUCGAACAGACCUAAAAUUUUAAAUGAUACUUCAAAAUUUUUUCUUAAUCCAACAUCGAGGUCGCAAACUAAUUUAUCGAUUUGAACUCUUCAAAUUAAUAACG
rnacentral:rRNA from 1 species